rnacentral:misc_RNA from 1 species
UAAUAAGUGUUUUAUGGCACUUUUUAAAUCCAUAUCCACCUUGAGUGCAAUGUCGGUCGAUCUUCUUUUUUUGAGGAUCGACCAAACAUCAACCUUUAUUUUUUAACUCUUUGUCUGAAAAAUAUUAUGAAUAAACUAUUCAAAAUA